rnacentral:rRNA from 1 species
UACAGAGGGUGCGAGCGUUAAUCGGAAUUACUGGGCGUAAAGGGCGCGUAGGCGGCAAUUCAAGUCAGCUGUGAAAUCUCCGGGCUUAACUCGGAACGGUCAGCUGAUACUGCUUUGCUAGAGUGCGGAAGGGGCAAUCGGAAUUCCUGGUGUAGCGGUGAAAUGCGCAGAUAUCAGGAGGAACACCGGUGGCGAAGGCGGAUCUCUGGGCCAUUACUGACGCUGAGGAGCGAAAGCGUGGGGAGCGAACAGG